AGUCGCGGUUAAACCAAGAUGGCCAAAUUAUAUACAUCCACGGUGAAAAAAUAGUUAAAUUUGAUAAAGUUUAUUGAAUGUUUGUAGAAGAGUAAAAUCUGAACACAAAUAAGAAAUUCUGUUUAAGCUUGCACAUUGAAGCUAUGAAAGCCUCGGGGGAAACUGGGAUUAGAUACCCCACUAUUCUUGGGUAUAAAGUGAUUGCAAUUUACCAGAGUACUAUGAAUUAACAGUUUAAAACUUAAAGGGCUUGGCGGUGUUUUAGACCCCUCAGGGGAACCUGUCUCAUAAUCGACAGUCCACGAAAAACCUGACCCCUUUUUGCAAUCAAUUUGUAUACCGUCGUCGUCAGGUAACUUUUUAGAAAAAAGAAGUUAGCAAUUAAACAGCUACAAGUUUACACGUCAGAUCAAGGUGCAGUUAAUAGAGGGGAGAGGAUGGGUUACAAUUAUAUACUUAUAACUAUGAAAAAACUUUUGAAACAGGGUUAUGAAGGAGGACUUGAAAGUAAGGUGGAAUAUAUAAACGUUCUGAAUCAGGCUCUGAAACGUGCACACAUCGCCC
rnacentral:rRNA from 1 species